UAUUCAACCAGGCCCACGCGACGUACAGACCCACCACAAAUACAAUGUUCCUCUGUCCACUAGGACAGAGUCUUCUUUGUAUUUGCACGGCGUACCGGCAAUAACAUCAGGACCUCAACCACAAUUUACAUUCACCAAUCAACAACCAAUAUAUGCGAUGCAUUCACAUACAGCUAGCAAUCCUUAGAGAUGAUGCAUGCCUCUAAACACUCCUUAGGCACUGGAUGAUGCGAUGCACAGUACAACAAGCAUCCUAUUUAAAAGUGCUCCCCACCCGGAAGCUUUGUUUUUAAAAUUUAUAUAAUCAUCCAUAAAACCAUUCGAAAACCUUUUUUAAAUUUUUUCCCACUCGGAAACUCUAUUUUGAAAACCGACUAUCUCGAGGGUAGAAAACCACAGAGUAUAAAUACAUAAUUCCAAAACCGAAGAUCCAUACACUCCAAUCGUAUGCAUAAUAGGAAAACCAAUUCAAAUAAUUCACAAAUAUUCAAACAUCAAUAAUAAUCAUCUAACUGAAGCAUUCAUUAUUAAAACUACU
rnacentral:lncRNA from 1 species